CAAGAAAUAGUUUAAAAAAAAUUUUAAUUUUGGAGAUUAACGAUAUAGAGAUUUUCUAUUUUUUUGA
rnacentral:tRNA from 1 species